UUUCCGUAGGUGAACCUGCGGAAGGAUCAUUCAUAAUCAAGUGUUUUAUGGCACUUUUUAAAAAUCCAUAUCCACCUUGUGUGCAAUGUUAGAUCUCGUCAAUCUUGGCGAGAUUUUUAUACAUCAACUCAUUUUUUAACUAAUUUGUCUGAAAAAUAUUAUGAAUACUUAAUUCAAAAUACAACUUUCAACAACGGAUCUCUUGGCUCUC
rnacentral:misc_RNA from 1 species